UUUUUUUUUUUUUUUUUUUUUUUUUUUUUUUUUUUUAUGAUG
rnacentral:ribozyme from 1 species